rnacentral:rRNA from 1 species
CGCCAGACUCCUACGGGAGGCAGCAGUGGGGAAUAUUGCACAAUGGGGGAAACCCUGAUGCAGCGACGCCGCGUGAGCGAUGAAGUAUUUCGGUAUGUAAAGCUCUAUCAGCAGGGAAGAAGAUGACGGUACCUGACUAGGAAGCCCCGGCUAACUACGUGCCAGCAGCCGCGGUAAUACGUAGGGGGCAAGCGUUAUCCGGAUUUACUGGGUGUAAAGGGAGCGUAGACGGCGAUGCAAGCCAGAUGUGAAAGCCCGGGGCUCAACCCCGGGACUGCAUUUGGAACUGUCAAACUAGAGUACGGGAGAGGUAAGAGGAAUUCCUAGUGUAGCGGUGAAAUGCGUAGAUAUUAGGAGGAACACCAGUGGCGAAGGCGUCUUACUGGACCGAAACUGACGUUGAGGCUCGAAAGCGUGGGGAGCAAACAGGAUUAGAUACCCGCGUA